rnacentral:rRNA from 1 species
GAUGAACGCUGGCGGCGUGCCUAACACAUGCAAGUCGAGCGAACAGACGAGGAGCUCUUGCCUCUGACGUUGGCGGCUGACGGGUGAGUAACAAGUGGAUAACCUACUACUAAGACGGGGAGAAUUUCGGAAAACCGCUGCCAAUACUGCAUCAUAUAUUGUACGGCAUGGUUCAAUAGUGCAAGACGGCUUUCCUGUUAUUUAUAGAUGGAUCCGCGCCGGAUUGGCUAGUUGGUAAGGUACCGGCUUACCAAGGCAACGAUGCGUAGCUGAGCUGAGAGGGUGAUCGGCCACACUGGAACUGAGACACGGUCCAGACUCCUACGGGAGGCAGCAGUGGGGAAUCUUCCGCAAUGGGCGAAAGCUUGACGCAGCAAUGCCGCGUGGGUGAAGAAGGUCUUCGGGUCGUAAAGCUCUUUUGUUAGGGAAGAACAAAUGUGUAAGAAACUAUGCACGUCUUGACGGUACCUAAUGAAAAAGCCACGGCUAACUACGUG